rnacentral:rRNA from 1 species
CCUACGGGGUGCACCAGUGGGGAAUAUUGCACAAUGGGCGCAAGCCUGAUGCAGCCAUGCCGCGUGUAUGGAGAAGGCCGUCGGGUUGUAAAGUACUUUCAGCGGGGAGGAAGGUGUUGUGGUUAAUAACCACAGCAAUUGACGUUACGCGCAGAAGCAGCACCGGCUAACUCCGUGCCAGCAGCCGCGGUAAUACGGAGGGUGCAAGCGUUAAUCGGAAUUACUGGGCGUAAAGCGCACGCAGGCGGUCUGUCAAGUCGGAUGUGAAAUCCCCGGGCUCAACCUGGGAACUGCAUUCGAAACUGGCAGGCUAGAGUCUUGUAGAGGGGGGUAGAAUUCCAGGUGUAGCGGUGAAAUGCGUAGAGAUCUGGAGGAAUACCGGUGGCGAAGGCGGCCCCCUGGACAAAGACUGACGCUCAGGUGCGAAAGCGUGGGGAGCAAACAGGAUUAGAUACCCGCGUAGUC